UGGGAGCCCAGCCUCCUGCACCACUGUGCACCCUGCCAGCCCCUCUUUUCCACACAUGUAGGGUAAGCGAGCCCCUCUGCAGGGUCCAGUGGACUGCAAAGCCCUUCCCCACCCAGCCUGCCGGCCCGGCCCUCGGGCUGACCGGGCAGGACUCAAACCUGUUCUCCAGGUGGGGCUGGGCCCUUGGGCACCACCACUGGGCCAGAGCGCCCCCCCAGUGCUGCUGAAAGAGGCCAAGGAAGAUGAGCCUGGCCUGGCCUUGCCCCACUCUGCAGGGCUUGGAAGAGCAGCCCCCGGGGCAGCCUGGGGUGUGCAGGAGAACCAGUUCCGGUGUCGCCCCAGCAACCACGCUAGUACACUCAACAACAGCGGGAACCAGACAGACAGAUGUUGGUGACAGGAAAACUCCAAGGCCCGCCUCUGGCUCCUGCUGCAGUGGGGGAGGGCGCCAGCAGGCCAGGGUCGCCUGAGGGACCUCACUGUGUGCGGCUCGGACACCCUCACUGCAUGCCUGUCCAGAUCGCCACCCAAACGCUGUAAAACGCACCUGUAACCUGCCAGUCCCUGCUGCAGGACGUCCCACCUUUGGGGGCCAGACCCACGGCAAACUUCACUAAAUUCCAAACUGCCUCUCUAAAUCACCCUGAGAGAAAGAAAUCAAUGUCUUUGAUUUUAACAAUGCCACUGUGGCCAUGUCAGGACAUGCUGCCUUUACUCUACUGAAGACACACACUUUCAAGGCCACCAUCACGUGACCGUAAGCAGCUGAUCCUCCUCCUGGGUGGACGAAAAGCCGACUCACCUGGCUUACUCACAGAUCCAACCUUCCAUCUCUUUCGAAGUCUCUGCUGAUGUCUGAAACGCGUCAGAAACUCCAGUGUUCCCUUGUUACCCCCACAGUUUGGCUGUGAACGCAGCCACUUUAUCGGCCCAUUUGAACACAGUUCUCACUCUCCCUUGAAGCGGCAGACUGAGUUCACUGAGUGGGUUGAAUAAACGGGUGAAUGUCACAAAAGUAAACGAGUUCUGCAGCUCCUCCUGUGUAACCGAUGAGUGCUGCCAGUGGUGGGUUUUUUGAGAAAUUUUUUG